UAGGGAAUUUUCGGCAAUGGGGGGAACCCUGACCGAGCAACGCCGCGUGAAGGAAGAAGGAAUUCGUUCUGUAAACUUCUGUUAUAAAGGAAGAAAGACGGAUGGAGGAAAUGACAUCCGAGUGACGGUACUUUAUGAGAAGCCACGGCUAACUACGUGCC
rnacentral:rRNA from 1 species